rnacentral:rRNA from 1 species
UUAGAGUUUGAUCCUGGCUCAGAACGAACGCUGGCGGCAUGCCUAACACAUGCAAGUCGAACGAGAAAACCCCGCAAGGGGUUAGUAAAGUGGCGCACGGGUGCGUAACACGUGGGUAAUUUGCCCUUUAGUUUGGGAUAACCUUUCGAAAGAAAGGCUAAUACCGGAGAGACCACAGAAGCAUAAGCUUUAGGGGUUAAAGAUGGGGACCGCAAGGCCUAUCGCUAAAGGAUGAGCCCGCGCACUAUCAGCUAGUUGGUGAGGUAACGGCUCACCAAGGCUAUGACGGUUAGCUGGUCUGAGAGGAUGACCAGCCACACUGGAACUGAGACACGGUCCAGACUCCUACGGGAGGCAGCAGUGGGGAAUCUUGCACAAUGGGCGCAAGCCUGAUGCAGCAAUGCCGCGUGAGUGCUGAAGGCCUUCGGGUUGUAAAUCUCUGUCGGGUGGGAAAAACGGGUUCAUAUUUAAUAAAUAUGAGCAGUGAUGGUACCACCAAAGGAAGAGGCGGCUAAUUCUGUGCCAGCAGCCGCGGUAAUACAGAAGCCUCGAGCGUUGUUCGGAAUUACUGGGCGUAAAGGGAAUGUAGGUGGUGACGUAAGUCAGAUGUGAAAGCCCUGGGCUUAACCCGGGAAGUGCAUUUGAUACUGCGUUGCUAGAGUGCGAGAGAGGAAAGUGGAAUUCCCGGUGUAGGGGUGAAAUCCGCAGAUAUCGGGAGGAUACCAAUGGCGAAGGCAGCUUUCUGGCUCGUAACUGACACUGAGAUUCGAAAGCGUGGGUAGCAAACAGGAUUAGAUACCCUGGUAGUCCACGCCGUAAACGAUGGAUGCUUGUUGUUGGAAGAGUUAACCCUUUCAGUAACGAAGCUAACGCGUUAAGCAUCCCGCCUGGGGAGUACGGUCGCAAGAUUAAAACUCAAAGAAAUUGACGGGGACCCGCACAAGCAGUGGAGCAUGUGGUUCAAUUCGACGCAACGCGAAGAACCUUAUCCUGGUCUUGACAUCCUCUGACCGCCAGCGAAAGUUGGUUUUCCCUUCGGGGACAGAGAGACAGGUGCUGCAUGGCUGUCGUCAGCUCGUGUCGUGAGAUGUUGGGUUAAGUCCCGUAACGAGCGCAACCCACGCCUCUUGUUGCCAUCAUUAAGUUGGGCACUCUAGAGGGACUGCCAGUGUUAAACUGGAGGAAGGUGUGGAUGACGUCAAGUCCUCAUGGCCCUUAUGACCAGGGCUACACACGUGCUACAAUGCAGGGUACAAAGGGCUGCGAAACGGUGACGUGGAGCCAAUCCCAAAAAACCCUGCUCAGUUCGGAUUGAAGUCUGCAACUCGACUUCAUGAAGCUGGAAUUGCUAGUAAUCACAGAUCAGAAUGCUGUGGUGAAUACGUUCCCGGGUCUUGUACACACCGCCCGUCACACCACGAAAGUUGUUUGCACCAGAAGUCGCCGAGCUAACCGCAAGGAAGCAAGCGCCCAAGGUGUGUGCAAUGAUUGGGGUGAAGUCGUAACAAGGUAACC